rnacentral:rRNA from 1 species
CGGGACGCUGUGGCCUCUAGUUUACCGGUUGUCCGACAGGGCAGACGCCGGGCAGCCACGCCGCCGGGGAUAAGGGCUGAAAGCAUCUAAGCCCGAAGCCCCUCCCGAAAAUAGGCAGCCAUUCCCACCGUAAGGU